rnacentral:lncRNA from 1 species
AUAUUUAAAUGUUUGACAUAAAAUUAAAAAUUAAUCAACAGACAUAACACCAUUAGGAGGUUUCACCGGAGGAUUUAGAAGUUGCCAAUAUUGUAGGCGUCCGUUUAAGUUUGACAUCCAAGAAGUUGCCUCAUGUGAACGAAAUUUCUUCCAAUCAGCUGUAACUUCGGGCAACGGAAAUCCCUUUGACAUGUUUACCGGCACCCAAUGAUUUCCACUGACAAAACCGAUACAAAAAAACCUUGCUGAAGAGGAAUAUGAAGUCAUCAUAGGAUAGAAGGUCUGACUAGGUUUACCCAACGUGACUAAAAUAACAUUAUACCUAUUUGCUACCAAGUAACCCAUAGCAGGUACGGUGAACCAUCUAUUUGCUACCAGCGAAUCUCUAACGCCCUGUAAAC